GGCCCUUUAGCUCAGUGGUUACAGCAGGCGACUCAUAAUCGCUUGGUCGCUGGUUCAAGUCCAGCAGGGGCCACCA
rnacentral:tRNA from 12 species